AGCUUCCGGAGCAGCUGGGACUGCUGGCGCCCGCCACUACGCUCGGCUAAUUUUUUUGUGUUUUUAGUAGAGACGGGCUUUCACCGUGUUGGCCUAGCGGUUCUCCAACUCCUGACCUCAUGAUCCCCCCGCCUCAGCCUCCCAAAGUGCUGGGAUUACAAGCGUGAGCCACCGCGACCCGCCAACACUCUUGACAACAGUGCUGUGCUAAGAACUUGGGGGACUUCAAAAAGUUCACCAGUUCCUGUGUCCAUGGGUGAAAAGAUUUUCUACAUCUUUCCUUGACUAGAAACAGAAGUCCUGAAACAAGAAUAUAACGUCAGGAGGCCAGAGGCUUUGUCCUGCCUAAUGUGUUAUUUCCACACUGAAUAAAAGCACCUGAGUCCUGGUCUCAGAGUGAGAACAAUGUCUUCUAUGAUGAGUGGCAAACACAACAAGGCAUUUUAAAAAGGUUGUACAUCUAGCAAUACCUAACAAAAUAGGAAAUCAACUUGUGUCAUUGCAAGAGCAGUUUAGACAAGGCUACAAAUCUACAAGAUGACAUCAGUUAAUACAGUGAAGACAGCUGGAAAUGCAGAGCAUUCAUACAGGAGGCAAUGUAUUGUAAUGGAGAUUUCCGUUUCAUUUCUCAGCAGAGAGCAGCCACUGUCUUUUGUGUUUGGAUAGACAUAUGGAUAUAAGAAAAAUUAUAGAAUAGGAUAGAAGACAUAGUAAUCUAAUGAGUGUUCUGACUGAAUGUUCUAACCUAUGAAAUUAUCAGUCCAAAACUACAUGUUCAGAACUUACGUGCAACAUUAUCUUGCGUUAUAUUAGUAAGUACAUUAAAGGAAAUAGUGGGAAGAAUAAAAUU
rnacentral:lncRNA from 1 species